rnacentral:tRNA from 1 species
CGAGCAGUAGCGAAAUUGGUAUCGCGCAGCGUUUGGGACGCUGAGAUUACGGGGUCGUACCCCGUCUGCUCGACCA